rnacentral:lncRNA from 1 species
CCCCCGGGGGUGGCGGUGGAUCUGUGCGCCCGGCGCCCCCGCGCUCGCCCGCCUUUGUGCCGCUGCGACCCCGCACGCUCGCCCCCGAAAGCGCUGGGUCGCGACCCUCGACUGCUGCGGCGGCGGCGGCAGCAGCGUCCGGGCUUGCGGGACUCCGGGCCCGGCCUCCUCCGCCCGCCCCCCAGCGUUUUAAAUGAUGCAUCUCUCCUGGGAGAGCUCCUACCGGUCGGCUCCGAGCAGGAAGUGUCGUCAGGAGGGCCAUUUUUAAAGCCUCCUGCGGGCCUCAGAGGUCCGCUUGACGUGGUUCGGUCUCCGUGGCCAGAAGGAUGCCCCCGCGCGCGCCUCUCCCGCCCCACCCCCCGCAGGGGGCGCGGAGUUACCCGUCUGCGGCCCCCGCGCCUGCCCUUCCCCGCAGCAGCGCUGCGCGAUGUGGACUCACCCUGGAUAACGCGACCGUCGGUGUGCGCGUGCCAACAAUAAACUGGAAAACCCGACUUGGCAUUGUUUUUCCUUGGGAGUUUGGGCGCACGUGCCCAGGGAUGGGCUUGUCCAUGGAGGGUCUCUGUGCUGGAGAGGGGCGUAAGGGGACGGUAGAUGACGGUUGGUCUUCUUCUAUAAAUGAUGACGUCACUCUUUGGGGGACCUCACCCCAGUCCCAGCUGCUUUUGUAUCUUAUUGCUUUUGGGGGGUCUUUAGGCAGUUUAAAGCCAAAGAGACCAUGA